UCCCCUCAUGCCAAUAAAAAGAAACACCU
rnacentral:piRNA from 1 species